GGGGAUGAUCGGUUUCGACAUCGCCUGUGAAUCUGCGAGAAGCGGGCCGAGGAUGCAGGGUUAUCUCGUAAACGAUCUCUGCAAAACUAUAAUUGCCGAUGCAAAUCGCAAUGAUUUCGCCCUCGCUGCAUAAGCGAGCCUGAAAUCCGUGAGACCGUAGGCGUUCCCGCUACGGACCCUCGCGUCAUCUAGGGGACUUGCUGCGUGACGGCGUCUUGGACGUCACGCGGGACUCUUCCCAGACUGGGCUUGUCGACUUAGAUGCCUGUGGCAAAUGUCGGAGCCGAGUAGAACGCCUUCACAGGAUGCGCCCGGAGAAGACGCAGAGACUCAGCGAUGGACGGGGGUUCGAUUCCCCCCAUCUCCACCA
rnacentral:tmRNA from 1 species